rnacentral:miRNA from 1 species
CACCUUGAUUUUGGACUUCUAGCCUCCAGAGCUGUAUGAGAAUAAAUUUCUGUUGUUUAAAACCAC